UGAAUACGAGACGCUAAGGCGUCGAAGUAGUGUAUGUCAUACUUCCAAGAAAAGCUUGCACUGUCAUAGAUAAAAAACGCCUGUACCAUAACCGACACAGGUGGGUAGGUAGAGUAUACUAAGGGGCGCGAGAUAACUCUCUCUAAGGAACUCGGCAAAAUAACUCCGUAACUUCGGGAGAAGGAGUGCCUUAUUCGUAAGGUUGCAAUAACAAGAUCCAAGCAACUGUUUAUCAAAAACACAGGUCUCCGCUAAGUCGUAAGACGAUGUAUGGGGGCUGACGCCUGCCCAGUGCCAGAAGGUUAAAGAAGUUGGUUAGCAAUUGCGAAGCUGAUAACUGAAGCCCUGGUGAACGGCGGCCGUAACAAUAACGGUCCUAAGGUAGCGAAAUUCCUUGUCGGGUAAGUUCCGACCCGCACGAAAGGCGUAAUGAUUUGGAUACUGUCUCGGAGAGGGGCUCGGUGAAAUAGACUUGUCUGUGAAGAUGCGGACUACCUGCACCAGGACAGAAAGACCCUAUGAAGCUUUACUGUAACUUGAAAUUGAAAUUGGACUUUAUUCGCGCAGUAUAGGUGGGAGGCGUUGAUUAUAAUCUUGUGGGAUUAUUGGAGCCAUCAGUGAGAUACCACUCUUGUAAUGUUAGAUUUCUAACUUUGAAUCAUUAUCUGGUCAAAGAACAGUUUCAGGCGGGCAGUUUGACUGGGGCGGUCGCCUCCUAAACGGUAACGGAGGCGUACAAAGGUUUCCUCUGAACGGUUAGAAAUCGUAUCUAGAGUGUAAAGGCAUAAGGAAGCUUGACUGUGAGACCUACAAGUCGAGCAGGGACGAAAGUCGGUCUUAGUGAUCUGACGGUACUGAGUGGAAAGGCCGUCACUCAACGGAUAAAAGUUACUCUAAGGAUAACAGGCUGAUCUCCCCCAAGAGUUCACAUCGACGGGGAGGUUUGGCACCUUGAUGUCGGCUCAUCGCAUCCUGGGGCGGUAGUACGUCCCAAGGGUUGGGCUGUUCGCCCAUGAAAGCGGUACGCGAGCUGGGUUCAGAACGUCGUGAGACAGUUCGGUCCAUAUCCGGUGUAGGCGUUAGAAUAUUGAGAGGAGCCUUCUUUAGUACGAGAGGACCGAGAAGGACAUACCUCUGGUGUACCAGUUAUCGUGCCAACGGUAAACGCUGGGUAGCUAUGUAUGGAGUGGAUAACCGCUGAAAGCAUCUAAGUGGGAAGCCCACCUCAAGAUAAGUAUUCUCACC
rnacentral:rRNA from 1 species